ACCUCUAGCAUUACUAGUAUUAGAGGCACUGCCUGCCCAGUGACACACGUUUAACGGCCGCGGUAUCCUGACCGUGCAAAGGUAGCAUAAUCACUUGUUCUUUAAAUAGGGACUCGCAUGAAUGGCAUCACGAGGGCUUAACUGUCUCUUACUUUUAACCAGUGAAAUUGACCUGUCCGUGAAGAGGCGGACAUGAAAUAAUAAGACGAGAAGACCCUGUGGAGCUUCAAUUUACCAGUACAACUAAAGACCAGACAAACCUACAGGCCCCUAAACUCUCAUAUCUGUACUAAAAAUUUUGGUUGGGGUGACCUCGGAGCACAACUAAACCUCCGAAGAAUUCAUGCUAAGACUACACAAGCCUAAGCAAAUUAACAUCCACAAUUGACCCAAUAGUUUGAUCAACGGAAUAAGUUACCCCAGGGAUAACAGCGCAAUUCUAUUCCAGAGUCCAUAUCGACAAUAGAGUUUACGACCUCGAUGUUGGAUCAGGACAUCCUAAUGGUGCAGCAGCUAUCAAG
rnacentral:rRNA from 1 species